AUGUCAUUAACCCGGAGCUCUUCUUCAGCCUCGAGUGGAACCGCUUCUCCUCCCAGCGAACAGGGUUCAGUUUCUGGUGAAGAACAUAUCUUCAACUGGGAUGGAUUUGCUGAGUUGGAGACCUGGGAAGACCCCACUCCUAGGCCAUCACCCUUUACUCUCAAGGAGCUGGGUGAUGCCUGGGUUGCUGCUGCAAAGCGCCAGCUCAUUCGCAGGCCCAAGACACCGCCCCGUGAGGAGCUGCUAAGGCGCAGCCAAGAGCAUGACCAGAAGAGUUUGAUAAUAGCGUUGAACGUCUAUGCCAAGCAAAACAAUAUGCAACCUACUGACCUCGAGGUAAUAGAAGUGAAAGCAAGAAACCUAAUCAUCGAGGGGGGAAAGGGAUACGUACACUUUAACUUUCUUGUGAAAAUGCAAGGUGACCCAUCUAGUUUGUUCUUUGCGGAGGUGCAUCCAGAUUGUAGAGAGGAGGAGGAUGUGUAUCUUUGCACCCCUUUGGAAGCUAAUGACUCGGGUAACUGUUAUGGGUGCAAGGACCGUGCAAAAGAGCUUUUGCAUCCCACUAGCGGUGGCUACUUGGGUGGGCACAAAGAUGUUGUUUUCCCCUUCAUUUACGGAAGUGAUGAAGAAAGUGAAGAUGAGGCCUGA
rnacentral:rRNA from 1 species